GUCAAAGCAAUCUAAGUGGUCAGAAUAUUGGACUAUGACUCUGGAGGCCAGGGUUCAAUUCCCGCUUGGCCA